rnacentral:tRNA from 1 species
GGUCCAGAGUGUAGUGGUUGGCACAUCUGCUUGAUAUGCAGUAGGUCCUGGGUUCGAUUCCCAGUGGGACCA